ACCACUCGAAAAAACAUUACCUGGCAAAGUUUCUACUGUGAUCUUACAGACUUGAGCCAUGACACUGAAUAUAUAAUUAAGCUCAUUGGUUUCAGGCAUGGAAAGCCUUCCAAGCCACUGGUGUCUCAAGUUAAAACAGAGCCUGAACCAAAAUCAACACCUUUACCCACGGCAGUCAUCGAUGAGGCCAUUACACCAACCGUUGUUGAGUUGCCUGCAACUACCACACACGAACCUUCAAAGGAAGUUUCGGUAACAUCUGUGUCUGGGGUUCCUACUGAUUCCGCCAAUGAACUUGUCAUAUCUGACAUCACAUCUGAGAGCAUGAAGGUGUCGUGGGUGGUAGAUCCAAAAGUCUUGAGCGAUUCAUUGUGCAAUGCAAGCCUGUUGACAGCCCUGAGAAACCAUUAGAAAAAACAUUGCCUGGACACAUUUCUACAGUUGAUUUUACAGGCCUGAUCGACGACACUGAAUAUAUUAUUAAGCUCAUUGGUUACAGGCGAGGAAAGCCUUCCAAGCCACUGGUUGCUCAAGUUAAGACAGAGCCCGAACCAAAAUCAACUCCUUUACCCACGGCAGUCGUCGAUGAGGCCAUUACACCAACCGUUGUUGAGUUGCCUAUAAGUACCACACACGAACCUUCAAAGGAGGUGUCAAUAACUUCUGAGUCUGGGGUUCCAACUGAUUCUGCCAAUGAACUUGUGAUAUCUGACAUCACGUCUGAGAGCAUGAAGGUGUCGUGGGUGGUUGAUCCAAACGUCUUUGAGCGCUUUGUUGUGCAAUACAAGCCUGCUGACAGUUCUGAGAAACCACUCGAAAAAACAUUGUCUGGCAAAGUUUCUACAGUUGAUCUUACAGACUUGAGCGAUGAUACUGAAUAUAUCAUUAAGCUCAUUGGUUUCAGACGAGGAAAGCCCUCCAAGCCCCUGUUGGCUCAAGUUAAGACAGAAAUUAAACUUUUAACACCUCCAGAACCCGCAGGUGUAGUUGAAGGUUCACAACCAAUAACUACUUUUGAAGACCUUGAAAUUACCACGAAGUUCCCCGACAAAACUAUUUCAGUGACAUCUGUUUCUGGGGUGCCAAUCGAUUCUGCCAAUGAACUUAUUAUAUCUCACAUCACAGCCAAUAGCAUUAGGAUUUCGUGGGUAGUAGACACGAAAGUGUUUGACCGCUUCAUUGUGCGCUGCAAGCCAACAGGCAGUAUUGAAAAGCCAUUUGAAAGAAAUUUGGCUGGGCACGUUUCCGUCUUAGAUAUAUUCGAGUUAACAGAAAACACUGAGUAUACUAUUAUUCUUCUUGGUGCAAGGCGUGGAUUGUUUUCCAAGCCUCUGGUGGCGAAAGUAACAACAGAGACCAAAGUGAAGUCCACUGCAGAUACUUCAACGUACCAUGCAGUACCCACGACUGAAGUUCCACGGCAUGUCCAGCAGAUAACAGUGACUGCCUCUCCUGGUGUUCCAAUUCAAUCCGCCAAUGAACUCACAAUAUCUGAGAUAAGCGACGAUAGCAUUGUCGUUUCAUGGAAAUCAGAUCCAACCUUGUUCGAUAAAUUCAUCAUCCGAUACAGACCUACCUGCAGCUCAAAAAAACCUUUGGACCGCAUUGUGUCCAGCCAUGACUCCAUGGUUAAAAUUAAAGGACUUCUUGAAAGCACGGUUUACGAAAUAUCCAUCCUUGGCAUAAAACGAGGGAGAUUCUCCAAACCUGUUUCAGCAAAGAUUAUCACAGCAAUGUCAAAGGAUAAAGGCAUGAAGCUUGCCACAACAGCGAUACCCACUGAAACCGAUGUCCCUGUGCAUACCACAUCAUUCCCUGACACGGAAGUUGUAUCUGUGUUUGCAAUAUCCGGAGUUCCACUCGACUCUGCAAACCAACUGUAUAUUUCUGAGAUAAAGCCACACAGCAUCAGAGUUUCGUGGGUGGUGGACGAAUAUGUGUUUGACAAAUUUGUCGUGAAAUACAAGCCCACGGAUAGUGCUGAUAGACCUUUGGAACAGAUUGUACCCGGCAACGUUAAAACCAUUGUGCUUAAACAUCUGAAGGGGAGCACAGAGUAUGAAGUUACAAUAGUUGCAAAGAAAAGAAGGAAAUAUUCCAAACCAUUGACUGCAAGGGUGAUGUCAGCUAUUGACGGGGCAAAGAAUCUGCAGGUGGUGUCAGUGACCGACUCGACGAUGGACAUCGAGUGGGAGAACACCCAGUCUCCCAUCGACCACUACACGGUGCAUUACACCACCUCGUCGGGUGACCCACCAGGCGACAUCAAGGUGUACAAGA